rnacentral:misc_RNA from 1 species
AUUAUCUCUAAGUAAAAGUGAGUUUGAAAGCAUACCUUCAAGCAUUCAACAAGUUUCUGGGCUUCGAGUACUGGACUUGGAGUCCUGCGCAAGGCUUCAAUCUUUGCAACAUCUUCCACCGUCUUUGGUAGUUCUAAAGGCAUCUUGUUGUACAUCUUUGAGAGCAGUUUCAAACUCAAUAAUGGAACUUUCAGAAGGUUGGGGAUAUUUUGAUUUUAUGAGUUGCACAAGUUUGAAUCAGCAUGAACGUUGAAAUAUUCUAAGACAUAUGCAACGCAGAAUAUUACAUGUAGCACUUGCAACAAUUAAGCAACGUCAGGAAUUUUAUAGCAAUGCCAAACAUGUGGGAAAGGAAUUGACAGUCAUGCUUCCUGGAAAUAAAAUCCCAUAAUGGGUCCGAAAUCAAAGGUUUGGAGAUUCAAUUACUGUUCCUCUGUCUUCAAAUUGGUAUGACAAUUUCUUGGGUUUCGCUCAGAGUGCUAGUUUUAAAUUUAAACAUGCCUACGAUCAUAGGUUCAUGAUAUUGGAUUGCGAAUUCAAGUCCAACUUUGGUAAUAGCCCUUGUGUUAUUGGUGGGUAUGAAGAGUAUUGGGAUGGUGGUAUAAUUCAACCGAUAAAGCAUGUGUUUUUGUCCUACAAUAACGAGUUUUGUAUCCAAGUUGAGGACAUAGGAGGCAGCAUGCAGCGUUAUAAUGAGGUAACAUUUCAAUUUAUCUUUGAGGAUGACCAUGGCGAUUCCCUGGUUAUGAAGUGUGGGGUCCAACUACUCUACGAUUGUCAUACUGAACAUGAAUCAAGUAAGGAUGAAGAUGAUGUUGAUGAAUCCAGCGACACAUGCAGCCUCAUUGAGGAAGAAGAGGAUGAAGAUGAUGUUAAUGAAUCUAGCGACACAUGUAGCUUCAGUUGAAAAGAGAAGAAAAAGUUUUUUCUUUUUUCUUGAAUCAUUGUGUACAAUCAGUGUAUAUAGUGUACAAAAGAGCUACAAUUUAGGAGACUAAUUAGCUCUAAAUCAGGAAAAAUAAUAUAUCAGUCCUAAAACAGGAAAUUAAGAAUAUAUCAUAGUUGCACAAUCUCUAGAUACAAGGAGAUUUAUAGGAGAGAUUUGUGGGAGAAAAUCUCAACACUCCUCAAGUUGGUGCAUAGAUAUCAUACAUACCCAACUUGCCAAGGCAUUUGGAGAACACUUGAUUUGAGGCUGCUUUAGUAAGGAUAUCAACCAAUUGAUCCUCAGAUCGAAUCUUUGGUAACUCCACAACUUUCCCAUCUAAUUUUUCCUAUAUGAAGAAUUUGUCUACCUCCACAUGUUUUGUUCAAUCACGUUGAACCAGAUUAUGGGCAAUAUCACAUGCAGCUUUAUUAUCA